rnacentral:rRNA from 1 species
UUGACUGCGAGAGUGACAGCUCGAGCAGGUACGAAAGUAGGUCUUAGUGAUCCGGUGGUUCUGUAUGGAAGGGCCAUCGCUCAACGGAUAAAAGGUACUCCGGGGAUAACAGGCUGAUACCGCCCAAGAGUUCAUAUCGACGGCGGUGUUUGGCACCUCGAUGUCGGCUCAUCACAUCCUGGGGCUGAAGUAGGUCCCAAGGGUAUGGCUGUUCGCCAUUUAAAGUGGUACGCGAGCUGGGUUUAGAACGUCGUGAGACAGUUCGGUCCCUAUCUGCCGUGGGCGUUGGAAGAUUGAAAGGGGCUGCUCCUAGUACGAGAGGACCGGAGUGGACGCACCACUGGUGUUCGGGUUGUCAUGCCAAUGGCAUUGCCCGGUAGCUAAGUGCGGCAGAGAUAACCGCUGAAAGCAUCUAAGCGGGAAACUUGCCUUGAGAUGAGUCUUCCCUUGUCCCUUGAGGACACUAAAGGAACGUUCGAGACGAGGACGUGGAUAGGCUGGGUGUGUAAGCGUUGCGAGACGUUGAGCUAACCAGUACUAAUGAACCGUGCGGCUUAACCUGACAACACCGAAGGUGUUU